GGCUAGAGUUUGAUCAUGGCUCAGGAUAAACGCUGGCGGCGCACAUAAGACAUGCAAGUCGAACGAACUUAACCAUUAGUUUACUAUUGGAGCGGUUAGUGGCGGACUGGUGAGUAACACGUAAGCAACCUGCCUGUUAGAGGGGAACAACAGUUAGAAAUGACUGCUAAUACCGCAUAUGCCAUAGUAAGGACAUCCUUACAGUGGGAAAGGAGAAAUCCGCUAACAGCUGGGCUUGCGUCUGAUUAGAUAGUUGGUGUGGUAAUGGCAUACCAAGUCGACGAUCAGUAGCCGGACUGAGAGGUUGAACGGCCACAUUGGGACUGAGAUACGGCCCAGACUCCUACGGGAGGCAGCAGUCGGGAAUAUUGCGCAAUGGAGGAAACUCUGACGCAGUGACGCCGCGUGCAGGAAGAAGGUUUUCGGAUUGUAAACUGCUUUAGACAGGGAAGAAAAAGGACAGUACCUGUAGAAUAAGCUCCGGCUAACUACGUGCCAGCAGCCGCGGUAAUACGUAGGGAGCAAGCGUUAUCCGGAUUUAUUGGGUGUAAAGGGUGCGUAGACGGGAAGUUAAGUUAGUUGUGAAAUCCCUCGGCUCAACUGAGGAACUGCAACUAAAACUGAUUUUCUUGAGUGCUGGAGAGGAAAGUGGAAUUCCUAGUGUAGCGGUGAAAUGCGUAGAUAUUAGGAGGAACACCAGUGGCGAAGGCGACUUUCUGGACAGUAACUGACGUUGAGGCACGAAAGUGUGGGGAGCAAACAGGAUUAGAUACCCUGGUAGUCCACACCGUAAACGAUGGAUACUAGGUGUAGGGGAUGAAUAAUCUUCUGUGCCGUCGCNAACGCAGUAAGUAUCCCACCUGGGGAGUACGGCCGC
rnacentral:rRNA from 1 species